GAUGAACGCUGGCGGCGUGCCUAACACAUGCAAGUCGAACGUGACUGAUUGAAAGAUCUUUUCGGAGUGAUUUCUUUUAGUUUAGUGGCGGACGGGUGAGUAACGCGUGGAUAACCUGCCUUUCACAGGGGGAUAGCAGCUGGAAACGGCUGGUAAUACCGCAUACGCUCAGAGGACCGCAUGGUCUUCUGAGGAAAGAUUUAUCGGUGAGAGAUGGAUCCGCGUCUGAUUAGCCAGUUGGCGGGGUAACGGCCCACCAAAGCGACGAUCAGUAGCCGGCCUGAGAGGGCGGACGGCCACAUUGGGACUGAGACACGGCCCAAACUCC
rnacentral:rRNA from 1 species